rnacentral:rRNA from 1 species
CCCCAUAGUUCACCACACCUGGAACGGUGGGUGGAUGAAAGCUCCGGCGGCAUAGGAUGGGCCUGCGGCGUAUCAGGUUGUAGGGGGUGUAAUGUACCCUCUAGCCAUCUACGCGUACGGGUGUUGAGAGACAUCGCCCGGAGAUGGAUUCUGAGACACGAAUCCAGACCCUACGGGGUGCAGCAGGCGCGAAAACUUGGCAAUGCGAGCAAUCGUGACCAGGGAACUCCAAGUGCAUCGGGUAAGACCGAUGCUUUUCUUGACUCUUCAAAGGUCUUGGAAUAAGGGGUGGGUAAGGACGGUGCCAGCCGCCGCGGUAAUACCGGCGCCUCAAGUGGUAGUCGCUUUUAUUGGGCCUAAAACGUCCGUAGCCGGUUUGGUACAUUCGUGGGUAAAUCAAGACGCUCAACGUCUUGAAUUCUGCGAGCACGGCCAGACUUGGGACCGGGUGAGGUGUGGGGUACUCUCAGGGUAGGGGUAAAAUCCUGUCAUCCUGAGAGGACCACCUGUUGCGAAGGCGCCACACUAGAACGGAUCCGACGGUCAGGGACGAAGCCUAGGGGCACGAACCGGAUUAGAUACCCGGGUAGUCCUAGGUGUAAACGCUGUGGACUUGAUGUUGGGAGCGACCAGAUCGCCCUCAGUGUCGAAGCGAAGGUGAUAAGUCCACUGCCUGGGGAGUACGGUCGCAAGGCUGAAACUUAAAGGAAUUGGCGGGGGAGCACUGCAACCUGAGGAUUGUGCGGUUUAAUUGGAUUCAACGCCGGG